GUGCUCACUUCAGCAGCAUAUAUACUAAAAUUAGAACAACACAGAGAAGAUUAGCUUGGCCCCUGCACAAGGAUGACAUACAAAUGCAUGAAGCAUUCCGUAUUUUA